GAGGACAAGGCAGCGGGGAGGAGAGCGGUGCAGAGGAGAGCUGGCUGUUAGCGGACAUAAUGGAAACCAGGCCUGCUGGUAGAGAGUGCAAACCAUAGGCCGUGUAUAAAGAUGGACGACAUGACAGCUCCCCAAACGUGAAGCCAAAGCGUCUCCACCUGCUGGCCGGCUGCAGUAUAGACGUGAAACCCCACCUCCUCCAUGUUAAUUGAUGGGACAUGGACCAAACUAAAAAGUCAAAUACACAUUUCCUGUGGCUGCUUUGCAAUAAAAAGCUAUCUAUA